rnacentral:rRNA from 1 species
UACGAAGGGGGCUAGCGUUGUUCGGAUUUACUGGGCGUAAAGCGCACGUAGGCGGUUUGUUAAGUGAGAGGUGAAAUCCCAGAGCUCAACUCUGGAACUGCCUUUCAUACUGGCAAGCUAGAGUCCGGAAGAGGUAAGUGGAACUCCUAGUGUAGAGGUGGAAUUCGUAGAUAUUAGGAAGAACACCAGUGGCGAAGGCGGCCUACUGGUCCGGAACCUGACGCUGAGGUGCGAAAGCGUGGGGAGCAAACAGGA